GCCUGGCUGACCGAUGCAUCGUGCACGAGUCGUGCGCGCCUCACCUUCGUCUGCGGUUGGAGAGAGGAGCUGGACUGGCAAAAUAUCUCGCGAGCCUUGGUCGCCUCCAGUUUCCCUUCCCUGUCUCUAAUCUCUCUUGACCUACCGCCGCCGCCGCCUCCUCUCGGUUACUGACGCUGCCGCUCCGAUGAAGAUCACCGUGCCGCUGUUGCUUAGAUCCCUGGAGAGAAGGGGAACAGCAGCCGCGCCAGGCGGCAUGCCUCGUCCGAGCCGCGUGGUGGCCGACACAUCGGCGGUUUCAUAGUCGGUCCUGGCCGGCGCCUCGUCAGCGUCGUGGAUGGCUUGGGCAGCGCCUUGGCAUCCAAGAGGGGCGAAGUGGGCCGGCCAGCAUGCGUGGGGCGCAAAGGCCACGAGCAGGAAGGAGAUGCGCUGGAGGUGAUGGAGGAGGAAGUUGGAGGCAGCAUCAGCGUCCAUGGCGACGCUGCCACGGGAACCCCCCUGCACACAGCACACCUCGACAUGCCUCGUCCGUGCCACAUGGUGGCCGAGGUGCGGCCGCCCAUGCUCUGCCGGCGCCGUCUCAUCCUCUUCAUCAAGAGGAGGCACCUCUGCCAGACCACGCCUUCCCAUCUACCGCACUCUAAUGGUGGACGAGGCUGAGGUGAGCAUCAUGACGAUGAGCAGGCCCGUGGCUGAUACAGAGAGCUCCUCGAACGGGAAGUAGCAGUGCUGGAGGGACUCGAAGAUGAGCAGGUCAAUUUUGGCAUGUCCAGUUAGUACAUGUAACCUUUGCAUCUUUACAUGUUCUUGACUUACUGCCAUUUUAUUUUUGCUGCAUUGCGAUUAGGUUCUGAAGUCAUGCCUUCGCCUUACUGUUGUGCUGAUACUGGAUGCCACAUUGAGGAAUAUUGGGAUCACAACUUAACUUAAAUUAGCAAUAUCGUGUCAAUGGUCGUCAUCUGAACCUAAUGAGAUGUUUACUGAAGAACAAUCCCUUGCUGUGACGCCCGGGUAAUUAAGCUACAGUGAUCCUUUGCUAAUGAUGCCACGUCACCUCGUUUAUAGUUGCUAA